rnacentral:rRNA from 1 species
CGUAGGGUGCAAGCGUUAAUCGGAAUUACUGGGCGUAAAGCGUGCGCAGGCGGUGAUGUAAGACAGAUGUGAAAUCCCCGGGCUCAACCUGGGAGCUGCAUUUGUGACUGCAUCGCUGGAGUGCGGCAGAGGGGGAUGGAAUUCCGCGUGUAGCAGUGAAAUGCGUAGAUAUGCGGAGGAACACCGAUGGCGAAGGCAAUCCCCCUGGGCCUGCACUGACGCUCAUGCACGAAAGCGUGGGGAGCAAACAGGAUUAGAUACCCUGGUAGUCCACGCCCUAAACGAUGUCAACUGGUUGUUGGGUCUUCACUGACUCAGUAACGAAGCUAACGCGUGAAGUUGACCGCCUGGGGAGUACGGCCGCAAGGUUG